AAGGGAGCUUGCUCCCUGAUUCAGCGGCGGACGGGUGAGUAAUGCCUAGGAAUCUGCCUGGUAGUGGGGGACAACAUCUCGAAAGGGACGCUAAUACCGCAUACGUCCUACGGGAGAAAGUGGGGGAUCUUCGGACCUCACGCUAUCAGAUGAGCCUAGGUCGGAUUAGCUAGUUGGUGAGGUAAUGGCUCACCAAGGCGACGAUCCGUAACUGGUCUGAGAGGAUGAUCAGUCACACUGGAACUGAGACACGGUCCAGACUCCUACGGGAGGCAGCAGUGGGGAAUAUUGGACAAUGGGCGAAAGCCUGAUCCAGCCAUGCCGCGUGUGUGAAGAAGGUCUUCGGAUUGUAAAGCACUUUAAGUUGGGAGGAAGGGCAUUAACCUAAUACGUUAGUGUUUUGACGUUACCGACAGAAUAAGCACCGGCUAACUCUGUGCCAGCAGCCGCGGUAAUACAGAGGGUGCAAGCGUUAAUCGGAAUUACUUGGCGUAAAGCGC
rnacentral:rRNA from 1 species